UACGGGGGGAGCAAGCGUUGUUCGGAUUUACUGGGCGUAAAGGGCGCGUAGGCGGUCAGCACAAGUCAGUUGUGAAAUCUCCGGGCUUAACUCGGAAAGGUCAACUGAUACUGUGCGACUAGAGUGCGGAAGGGGCAACUGGAAUUCUCGGUGUAGCGGUGAAAUGCGUAGAUAUCGAGAGGAACACCUGCGGCGAAGGCGGGUUGCUGGUCCGAUACUGACGCUGAGGUGCGAAAGCGUGGGGAGCAAACAGG
rnacentral:rRNA from 1 species